GAGGAAAUCGAACAGAGGAGUCUGUUCACUAUUUAUUACAGGUUGCUUUCCCCUGAGCCUGCUUGACUUCACAGCUCAGCACUCCUGCCUUCCUGCUACUCAUUUAGUUUACUCUUUUGUUAAAUAAGAAGGAAGAAAAGAGAAAACCCAUGUUUUACUAUCCUCUGAACACAUUCUCAUCAUUUCAAGAAAGGAAAGAAGUUUUGGUAGAAAGUUUAAGAGCUUCAUCAAAGCAAAAAAAAAAAAAAAGCUUCAUUAAGCAAAAAAUCUUUUGUCAUCAGGGCCAAUGCUGUGGUGUAGGAGGUGAAGCUGCUGCCUGCAGUGCUGGCAUCCCAUGUGGGUGCCAAUUCAAGUCUCAGCUGCUCCACCUUCUGAUCCAGCUCUCUGCUAUGGCUUGGGAAAGCAGUGAAACAUGGCCCAAAUUCUUGGGACCCUGCACCUGCAUGGAGGACCCGGAAGAAGCUACUGGAUCCUAGCUUUCUGAUUGGCCCAGCUCCUGCCAUUGUGGCCAUCUGGGGAGUGAACCAGCAGAUGGAAGACCUCUCUCUCUCUUUGCCUCUAUCUCUCUGUAACUCUGCCUUUCAAAUAAACAAAUCUAAAAAAAAAUCAGAAUCACAAAUACUAAUACAAUAAAAUUGUUUAUUUUAUAAGUUUCCUAUUAAGUAGCUGAUAAUUUCAAUUUCCUGGCAUGCAAAUUUUUAAGCAUAUUCUCUUGGGUUCUUAUCAGCCUUCCUUAAGGUGUUACAUUUGCCAUGUUCCAUAUGCUUUCUUUGCAGGACAUUGCCUUUGAAGUUUGUCUAAUUUUAUGCAUGGUGCACAUAAGGAAAGACGUAAUAUGAAAGACAUUUGUAGAUUACCAAUUGGACAUCCAUUUUAAUAUCAAUGUAUCCUGUCUCAAGUAGGAACACAUUCAAUAAAUGUUUUUGGGUUUUCAAUGUUGUGACAAAUUCAUUGAAAAAAAUUCUCACAAUAGGCUGUGACUAAACUUAAUCUCUCUGUUUAAAACAAAGAAUGGCCUUAUUUCAUUUUUUUAAACGUGAUAAUGAAAAAAGCCUUCAUUA